UCCUAAAAUACAGCACUUUACUGCUACUGUUCAAGGUAUCUAAAGUAACAGUAUCAUGCAGUACUUUUUUAAUUUGGGGAGGAGCCAUUCACCCAAACUGCACAUGUGAAGCUGGAUCCGUUCUUUUCUUCAUCUAUCUCCAUCUUAUUAAUUAUUUGGUGACGACAGAAGGAUGAAGCAGCUAGCUAGAAUAUCAAAGGCUCUUCAUAGGAGUAAACUCAAAGAGGCACAAGGCUGGACAGAGCAAAAUCAUUUCAAGGAAAACUGCCAAAGUCACCAGUUGGCAACAGUCAAUCCCCAUGCAUCCUCUCUGCUGAGGAGUCUUGUGGACUUUGAGUAGGACUU